GUGCACUUUUUGGAAGCACAUAUACUAAAAUUGGAACAAUUCAGAGAAGAUUAGCAUGGCUCCUUUGCAAGGAUGACAUGCAACUUCAUGAAUUUUUAAAUAAUUCU
rnacentral:snRNA from 1 species